GAUGAACGCUGGCGGCGUGCUUAACACAUGCAAGUCGAACGGAAAGGCCCUGCUUUUGCGGGUUGCUCGUGUGGCGAACGGGUGAGUGACACGCGAGUAACAUCCCCCUAACUUUCGGAUAUCUCCACGAAACUGGGGCUCAUACCGCAUAUGAGCUCCUGCUGCAUGGUGGGCGUUGGUAAGUUUCGGCGGUUGUGGAUGGUCUCGCUGCUUAUGCGCCUGAUUGUGGGGUAGUUGCUUACCAAGGCUUUGAAGGGUAGCCGGCAUGAGAGGGCGACCGGCCACAAUGGGACUGAGGGACGGCCCAGUCGGGUACGGGAGGCAACAGGGGAGAACAUGGCACAAUGGGCGGAAGCCAGAGGAAGCGACGCCGGGUGCGGAAUAACCGCCUUCGGGUUGUAAACCGCUUUCGCCUGUGACGAAGCGGGAGUGACGGUAAUGGGUAAAGAAGCACCGGCUAACUACGUG
rnacentral:rRNA from 1 species